rnacentral:rRNA from 1 species
ACGUAGGGUGCGAGCGUUAAUCGGAAUUACUGGGCGUAAAGCGUGCGCAGGCGGUUUGAUAAGCCAGAUGUGAAAUCCCCGGGCUCAACCUGGGAACUGCAUUUGGAACUGUCAGACUAGAGUGUAGCAGAGGGGGGUAGAAUUCCACGUGUAGCAGUGAAAUGCGUAGAUAUGUGGAGGAAUACCAAUGGCGAAGGCAGCCCCCUGGGUUAACACUGACGCUCAUGCACGAAAGCGUGGGGAGCAAACAGGAUUAGAUACCCUGGUAGUCCACGCCCUAAACGAUGUCAACUAGUUGUUGGGGGAGGAGACUUCCUUAGUAACGCAGCUAACGCGUGAAGUUGACCGCCUGGGGAGUACGGUCGCAAGAUUA